CAAUAGCGUAUAUUAAAGUUGUUGCGGUUAAAAAGCUCGUAGUUGGAUCUCGGCGAGCAGGGGGCGGUUCGAUGUUCGUCGUUACUGCCCCAUUUGCUCGUGUGAUUGGCGGGGGCUGCGGGGUGCUCUUCGUUGAGUGUCCCGUGGUGCCGUCGGGUUUACUUUGAAAAAAUUAGAGUGCUCAAAGCAGGCUUCACACGCUUGAAUAUUCGUGCAUGGAAUAAUGGAAUAGGAACUCGUUUCUAUUUUGUUGGUUUUCGGAAAUUGAGUUAAUGAUUAAUAGGGACAAUUGGGGGCAUUAGUAUUCAGACGACAGAGGUGAAAUUCUUGGACCGUCUGAAGACUAACUACUGCGAAAGCAUUUGCCAAGAGUGUUUUCAUUAA
rnacentral:rRNA from 1 species